ensembl:lncRNA
CUAAAACCAAAAGUGCAGAUGUCUUUUUGAAUAAAGCAAAUUCCAUGAGCUAACUAACUCAAAACAGUUGAAACACUGGGGUCUGAAAAUAUUUGGAAAGGAUGUCAAUCUUAGUCCACUUCGCAAUGCUUCUUCUUUUUUGCAAAGAUUCCGUAACUUGUGCAACCCAGGAGAUACAGCUCGAAGUCGUUAAUGCCGCAGUCGGAGAAUCACUUGAAUUGAACUGCACCUAUAACUGUUCCGGUGGAUUUGUCCGGGGACACUGGAAGAAAGUCCCUCAGUGUAAUGAUUGCCCUCGGCUAAUGGAAACAAAAGGUCGGACCAUGAAUGGUGACCUCUGCACGUUAUCCUUGUCUUUUCUGAAUGUUUCUAAAGAAGAUUUUCAGUACAACUAUACCUGCUUUACUGAAGAUCAUGGAAGUGAAGUAUUCCAAUACAAGACAGAGCGGCUGGUAUCACUGCAGGAACAAGCGCAACCUAGUGCCCGAACCACAAAAGUCACUACUGAUGUAUCAGUGACAGUAUUACCUAACCAUGAAGACUUCACAAAUAAUGAGGAUUCUCGAGGCAUCAAGUUGUUGGCAACCAUCACGGUUAUAGUGGCUGUGUUGUUGGCAUUCGUGGCUGCCUACUUAUGCAUGAGCCACAAUCAAUAUGUCAAAGGAAAACGUGCUGAUGGCAAGACAUCAAAAGCGGGACCGGUUGUUGCUAGGCCAACAGCAACAGGCACAUUCUCAACCAGUUGUGAGAGGGUGGCAGUAAGAAUAACUCCAGCGGAUUGCCAGAGUGAUCAGGAGGUUCCAUAUGCUGACAUCAUGAUUACUGUCAGAGGUGCCAGCACACCAGAGCUUACACAGAUUUCCUACCUGGCUCCAGGGGACCAUAAACAGCGGUGGAGAGAGGAGCCAGGCCCCAACCUUGCAGCCAGGACCCACCUUCAGGUCUCCCGCUCAGCUGACAGGCUGCAUGUCCACCCCCGAGAGGUUUCUAGGAAGAUGAGCACAAGCUCUGAGUACGCUGUCAUCACCUAUUCUUAACCACUGGGGCUGGAGAAGGAAGGAGACGAGUACAGGCAUUAAGGGGAGAGUAGAGACGGGUAGAUGCCAUUAGUCCUUGGCUGUUAUAUUUGAAUAAAAUGUGUGAAAAAAAGUUUUUUCCCUGUGAACCGCAUGUACGUACAGUGCAGUAAGAAUUGGGCACACAGAAGGAUUUUACACUUUAGACUCCAAAUGUUUGCAUUUGAAAUCGAACAAAUACUAUGUUAUAGAAUAGAUUCCCAGUGUUAUUUAUGGGUGUUUGAGAAUACCUGUACAGAUUCACCAUUAACAAAUGACAACACAAAGGGAAAUAUCCAAAUUAGGCCCUUAUAUUUAGUAUGUGUGGCUUGUUUCUCCUUUUAAAAGAGAGAGAAUAAAAACGCUAGAUACUAUAUACUUAUCUGGUUUACAGAAAAAUUUCCAUUGCUUGAAAUUACACCGGCAUGUUUGUGACAUAGCACUUUUUACACAUAAUGCAACUAUUUCAGGGCAGCACAGUUAUUUGCAUAAUUGGAUUGACAGGUGUUUCCUGUUAGUCAGGUUAUUUAUGAGAGCUUUCAAUGUCUACACUUGAUUCAAGGCUCUGCAUUUGCCUUUGGAUUCUGCUAUUGCUGUCGGUCAACUGGAUGAAGAAAUGGCCUUGUCAAUGAAAGUCAAUGACACCAUUAUGAGCCUGAAAAUGUAGGAAGAAAUAAACGAAAAUCACCCAGAAUAUUAGCCGAAAGGCUCAACACUGCCAUUACUGCUCUACAUUGGCAGCACCCAAGCGUGUUCGCAUGUUGUUUAUUUCCGAUGGCUGAAGCACACUCGUCUUGAAAAUGGAAAUAAGAAAACGUUGAUUCCUGUGGGUUUCUGGUGUAGCAGGUACAACGUCAUAUGGACACAAUGCUGAUAGUAAAGCAAAUCAAGCCUUGGAUUGUAUCUGCGCCAUUAGACAAUGGUUUAGAACUACAUUUUUAAAAAACACUGGUGAGUUCAGCAAUCGCAAAUAGCCUAGUAGGCCAAGGAAUAUCUCUACAGUGCUUGACCAAAGAGUGCUUGUCACCAUAAUGAAGGAAAUUAAAUAUUUUCUACAAAUCAGAAUCAAUCACCAGGAGUGAUAGAGAAAUGUCUAGUGGGUUCAAUGUGUUGCAGAUUUUGAAGAAGACUCAUAAAUGGAUAAAUGCAGCUUGAGCUCAGUUAAACUGUUGUACCCCAAAAAAGAUCAAAUGUAUAUAUCAUGGAUGGUCAGCCCACACAGCUCUGUCUAUGAGGUAACAGUGUUAUUUCACCAGGCAAACCAUUUAGCUUCCAACUGAAAGAUAUUUAUUGAACGAUUAAAGCAUCUAAAAAUGCACUGUGUUAACAUUGCCUAAAAAAUGAACAUCCACUAAUAAAGGUUUAUUUUGUGUUAAGGUUUAUUGUAACUGCUUUUAAAACUACUUGAAAAUAUAAUGACGUGUCUAUUUGGUAUUAAAUAAAAUAUUCUGGAU